CGUGGGUCUUGAAGAAAAGGGGGGUAUUAUAGAAUCAAGCUUAGUAUAAAGCUUUAGAUAUGUAGAAAUUGUUUUGACAUUUUUUCUUUGUUUCUUUCAAGUUCUUUUGGGGUAAAUAAAAACCUCGUCAAUUCUUAAGAAAACAGAAAUGUUGCUUUAUUCUAUGUUCCUAUUUGUGCGAGUUUGUCUAUUUCCUUUCUCUGAUCAUUGGGAGACUACAGGCAACUUAAGUUUUUUGGGCCGAGAUGUGCCCAGCUUGGCCUAGGGUAGCUGGA
rnacentral:lncRNA from 1 species